CCUACGGGAGGCAGCAGUGAGGAAUAUUGGUCAAUGGACGAGAGUCUGAACCAGCCAAGUAGCGUGAAGGAUGACUGCCCUAUGGGUUGUAAACUUCUUUUAUCUGGGAAUAAAAUGUUCCACGUGUGGGAUUUUGUAUGUACCAUAUGAAUAAGGAUCGGCUAACUCCGUGCCAGCAGCCGCGGUAAUACGGAGGAUCCGAGCGUUAUCCGGAUUUAUUGGGGUUAAAGGGAGCGUAGGUGGAUUGUUAAGUCAGUUGUGAAAGUUUGCGGCUCAACCGUAAAAUUGCAGUUGAAACUGGCAGUCUUGAGUACAGUAGAGGUAGGCGGAAUGCGUGGUGUAGCGGUGAAAUGCUUAGAUAUCACGAAGAACUCCGAUUGCGAAGGCAGUUCACUGGACUGCAACUGACACUGAGGCUCGAAAGUGUGGGUAUCAAACAGGAUUAGAUACCCUAGUAGUC
rnacentral:rRNA from 1 species